GACGAACGCUGGCGGCGUGCUUAACACAUGCAAGUCGAACGGAAAGGCCCUGCUUGCAGGGUACUCGAGUGGCGAACGGGUGAGUAACACGUGGGUGAUCUGCCCUGCACUUCGGGAUAAGCCUGGGAAACUGGGUCUAAUACCGGAUAGGAGCCAUUCUUAGUGUGAUGGUUGGAAAGUUUUUUCGGUGUAGGAUGAGCUCGCGGCCUAUCAGCUUGUUGGUGGGGUAAUGGCCUACCAAGGCGGCGACGGGUAGCCGGCCUGAGAGGGUGGACGGCCACAUUGGGACUGAGAUACGGCCCAGACUCCUACGGGAGGCAGCAGUGGGGAAUAUUGCACAAUGGGCGCAAGCCUGAUGCAGCGACGCCGCGUGGGGGAUGACGGCCUUCGGGUUGUAAACUCCUUUCGCUAGGGACGAAGCUUUUGUGACGGUACCUAGAUAAGAAGCACCGGCUAACUACGUG
rnacentral:rRNA from 1 species